rnacentral:misc_RNA from 1 species
GAUGAAGAACGUAGCGAAAUGCGAUACUUGGUGUGAAUUGCAGAAUCCCGUGAACCAUCGAGUCUUUGAACGCAAGUUGCGCCCGAAGCCAUUAGGCCGAGGGCACGCCUGCCUGGGCGUCACACGUCGUUGCCCCCCCAUCUACUCCUUCGGGAUUGCGGGGGGCGGAUGAUGGCCUCCCGUGCGCCUCGUCGCGCGGUUGGCAUAAAUGCCAAGUCCUCGGCGACGCACGCCACGACAAUCGGUGGUUGCGAAACCUCGGUUGCCCGUCGUGUGCGGUCGUCGCGCAUCGAGGGCUCGAAAAAAUUGUCGGGCUCCGGCUCGGCUUUCAACGCGACCCCACGUCAGGCGGGGUUACCCGCUGAAUUUAAGCAUAUCAAUAAGCGGAGGA